UUCUUCUUCCUCCUCCUCCUCCUCAUCAAUAGGAAAACACUGAGAAGCAGCCUUAAGGAACAACACAGUGGUGAUAUCCAGGGACUUGAAAUUAUGUCACGUGCUAUCGGCAACCAAUAUAUGAUGUUUGGAUUGAGAACUAUGAUCAAAGUGAAGCAGUGGAACUUUGCAGUUAAUCAAACAGGAAUUUUGAACCAAAAACCCACAAAUGUGUUUCAACACACUCGAGCUACGUAAUCUUGGGUCUCACUCUGUCACCCGCAAUUGGAGUGCAGUGGUGCGAUCUCCGUUCACUGCAACCUCCACCUCCCAGGCUCAAGUGAUUCUCCUGCCUCAGCCUCCUGAGUAGCUGGGAUU
rnacentral:lncRNA from 1 species